rnacentral:rRNA from 1 species
GACUCGUCACACUAUCAUUAACUGAAUCCAUAGGUUAAUGAGGCGAACCGGGGGAACUGAAACAUCUAAGUACCCCGAGGAAAAGAAAUCAACCGAGAUUCCCCCAGUAGCGGCGAGCGAACGGGGAGGAGCCCAGAGCCUGAAUCAGCAUGUGUGUUAGUGGAAGCGUCUGGAAAGGCGCGCGAUACAGGGUGACAGCCCCGUACACAAAAGCGCAUGUGCUGUGAGCUCGAUGAGUAGGGCGGGACACGUGGUAUCCUGUCUGAAUAUGGGGGGACCAUCCUCCAAGGCUAAAUACUCCUGACUGACCGAUAGUGAACCAGUACCGUGAGGGAAAGGCGAAAAGAACCCCGGCGAGGGGAGUGAAAAAGAACCUGAAACCGUGUACGUACAAGCAGUGGGAGCACAGGUUUACCUGUGUGACUGCGUACCUUUUGUAUAAUGGGUCAGCGACUUAUAUUCUGUAGCAAGGUUAACCGUAUAGGGGAGCCGGAGGGAAACCGAGUCUUAAUUGGGCGUUAAGUUGCAGGGUAUAGACCCGAAACCCGGUGAUCUAGCCAUGGGCAGGUUGAAGGUUGGGUAACACUAACUGGAGGACCGAACCGACUAAUGUUGAAAAAUUAGCGGAUGACCUGUGGCUGGGGGUGAAAGGCCAAUCAAACCGGGAGAUAGCUGGUUCUCCCCGAAAGCUAUUUAGGUAGCGCCUCGUGAAUUCAUCUCCGGGGGUAGAGCACUGUUUCGGCUAGGGGGCCAUCCCGGCUUACCAACCCGAUGCAAACUGCGAAUACCGGAGAAUGUUAUCACGGGAGACACACGGCGGGUGCUAACGUCCGUCGUGAAGAGGGAAACAACCCAGACCGCCAGCUAAGGUCCCAAAGUCAUGGUUAAGUGGGAAACGAUGUGGGAAGGCCCAGACAGCCAGGAUGUUGGCUUAGAAGCAGCCAUCAUUUAAAGAAAGCGUAAUAGCUCACUGGUCGAGUCGGCCUGCGCGGAAGAUGUAACGGGGCUAAACCAUG